UAAUAUAAUGACUGUGGAUCUCAAGAACA
rnacentral:piRNA from 1 species